CUCCCCCUCCCCCUCGAUACCCAACAUAUUUCGGUGGGUAUCAGGAUCAGUAGCAUUAGACUAAAGAGAAAAAGAAACACAAAACCCACCUAAUCAAACCAGUGAAUUCCACGAAUAGCUCAUAUUCACAGCCAAAGAACUCCUCCACCUUCUCUUUCAACCUCUCUAUCCUCGAAAAGAAAAAAGUAAAAGUAAAAGAAAGAGAGAGAGAGAGACCAA
rnacentral:lncRNA from 1 species